AGUGAACGCUGGCGGUAGGCCUAACACAUGCAAGUCGAACGGCCGCACAGUAAGAGCUUGCUCUUACGGGUGGCGAGUGGCGGACGGGUGAGGCAUACAUCGGGAUCUACUUUUUCGUGGGGGAUAACGUAGGGAAACUUACGCUAAUACCGCAUACGACCUCCGGCGGAAAGCCGGGGAUCUUCGGACUUUGCACGUGUGGAUGAGACGAUGUCGGAUUAGCUCGUUGGCGGGGUAAAGGCCGAACAUGGCUAGGAUCCUUAGCUGGCCUGAGAGGAAGAAUAGCCACACGGUAACUGAGACACGGCCCAGACUCCUACGGGAGGCAGCAGUGGGGAAUAUUGGACGAGGGACGCAAGCCUGAUCCAGCCAUACCGCGUGAGUCAAGAAGGCCUUCGGGUUGGAGAGCCAUUUUGUUGGGAGAGAAAAACAGCAGGUUAAUACCCCGCUGUUCUGACGGUACCCAAAGAAUAAGCACCGGCUAACUUCGUG
rnacentral:rRNA from 1 species